CUGCAAAUAUUCUUGCCAUUCUGAUUUAAUAGUCAGAGCAGGCUAAGAAUUUGCUACACUAAGACCAUGCAUGUGUCCCCAGACCUAGUUCUUUCCCUAGGUCUGGUUUUAUAAAUGCUGGUGAUAAAU